rnacentral:lncRNA from 1 species
GUGUGUGUUCUGGUCGAGAUUUCCACAGGAGAAAAAGGGGUUCUCUACAUUGAACCCUAGCAUACACAAAAUCAAUCAAAUUGAAGGCCAAAUCGGGCUCGAAUCAAAGGCACGAAUACAUACAAAUGAUCACCAAGUCGAGGGGAUCAAGAGUUUGACUCUUGACAAGCUAGAUGGAGGCUUGGGGAAAGAAGCGGGUCAAACGGACCGUAUACGCGGAAAAGAGCAUAAUCCGGAUACAAGGUAAGUUAAAGCUUACACCUUUUAUUAACAACUAUUGGUUUUAUAGAUUAUGAAUAAUCAAAAAUCAUAUUUGACUUAUGAUGUUUUGACCCGUCAUGUGCGGUUCGGAACAAAAGACAUUAAUGAUAAACCAUGUUGAAUGAUUAAAAAGAGCUAAUAAGAUCAUUUAGUCAUGCAAUGACUAAUAAAUAACGAGUUCUGAAUGAUUACCUUGUAAGGUAAAUCAAUACAAUUAAUAAGGGUAAAACGGUAAGGUGGUCACUAGUUGACGAUAACCGUUAGUUUUGAAGGACACUUUAUGGCGUAAGAUAUAAAGGGGUCUGGAGGGGGUCAAAAUGAUCAAGAAAUAGAUUUAUAAGGAAAAUUGACCGUACGGUGUAAACCGGUACAAGUCAUGUAGACGAGAUGAUGAUAAAUCCAUCUCGCAAAAGUAAACGGUCAUUUAGACCAAACGGGUCAAAAGGUGAAAAUAUCACCCUUUGACAAUAUCGACUAAUGGUUUGUCGAGUUGUAUGAUUACAGGAAUAAAUAUCGAUUGAAUGUUGACAUCGCUAUUACUUAGCGGCUACUAAGGCAAGGUAUCGAAACGGGUCAAUAUAUUGAUCCGAGCCAGAUUCAACUCGUCAUGUAGAACUUGAGGUUCUAUAAGAGUUAGACAAGGAUAAAUUAUAGAUAUUCGGUUAUCAUUAAGGUAAACCGAAUAAAUUGGGUCAUGAUUAUGGUAUUUUAGAAAUAUAAUGGUUUCUAAACAAGAUUAUAGUUUUAAAAGUGGGAUUUUGGUCGAACAUGGCUUUAAAGGUCCUUCGUCGUAAUAGGAGGGGUAAAAGUGACCAAAAUGCCCUUAUAAGUGAAAUUAAGCAAACGACCCCUAAAGUUUGCUUAGAAAUGAGUUUUGUGGCCAAAUAGAUACUUGUAUUAAGUAUAAAAAGUGAAAUAUGCGAAUCUUUGGGUCAAAUGACUCUAUAUGAGUCUUUGCCGUAAAAUGAUAAUCCGAGGGGUAAAACUCGGAAUAAAUAGAUCUCCACAUUAAAUCCUCCACACAUAUAGUUGUGGUGGAAGAUAAAUUGAUAAAUAAUAUGGAAGUACAAUGCUAGAAGUGAAUGGGUAUGAAUUAUGCGGUAAAAGUGCUUAAAUACCCUUAACGGGUCAAAAUAAGCUUCUAAGUCAAAACCGGUUAAAGAAGGUAUACAAACCCGUGAUUUUGAGCCUAAUAUAAUAGGAGAUACUGAAAUUAUGAAGUUCAUGGGUUUAAAGAUCAAAUAGGCAUGUUUGUUUGAUAAAAUCACGAACGGGUCAAAAUUUGGUAAAAAGGGUAAUAAGCCAAAGAUUUAAAAGUCUUAAAUUUUGUUAAUCCGGAUGUCGGAUUUUAACACCAUAUGAUGGAGAAUUAAAUUACGGACGCGUAGGAAAAAGAAUCGUGUAAAACGGAUUAAAAACGAGAGAGUUAUGUCCGUUUCGGUAAGAACUAAUGGCUGAGAAAAAUGCAGAGUUGCCACGGGCGGGUGACCUUUUGACACAGCCGGGUGACUGGGCUGUGAAAAAUAUAUGUUAAGCUGACAUGGCUGGGUGAUCCUUUUGACACGGCCGGGUGAAGGAGCUGA